rnacentral:tRNA from 1 species
UCCCUGGUAGUCCAGUGUCUAAGGCUUUGCACUCCUAAUGCAGAGGAUCUGAGUUCGACCCCUGGUUAGGGAG